GGGACUCGGCAGGAUAUCGCAUCCUGGGCCUACGUAGUUUGGCAGAAACAAACAUCAGAGUCGACGUAGUUCGGGGAAACGGGAAACGGGCUCGCUAGGAUAUCGCAUCCUAUGCCUACGUAUCUCAUCUAGAAUGAGAAUCAGAGCUACCAUAGUUCGGCUAACGCACGCGGAAACAAAACACAACCCAAAGACACUGAGACGUCAAAAGAAACU
rnacentral:lncRNA from 1 species